rnacentral:rRNA from 1 species
UACGAGUGCCCCGAGCGUUAUCCGGAAUUAUUGGGCGUAAAGGGUGUGUAGGUGGUCCUGUUAGUCUUCUGUUAAAGCUCCCGGCUUAACCGGGAAAGUGCAGAGGAAACGGCAGGACUAGAGAUGUGAGAGGUUUGCGGAACUCAUGGUGUAGGGGUGAAAUCCGUUGAUAUCAUGGGGAACACCAAAAGCGAAGGCAGCAAACUGGCGCAUUCCUGACACUGAAACACGAAAGCGUGGGUAGCGAAUGGG